rnacentral:rRNA from 1 species
UACGGAGGGGGUUAGCGUUGUUCGGAAUUACUGGGCGUAAAGCGCGCGUAGGCGGAUUAGAAAGUUGGGGGUGAAAUCCCGGGGCCCAACCUCGGAACUGCCUCCAAAACUGCUAGUCUAGAGUUCGAGAGAGGUGAGUGGAAUUCCGAGUGUAGAGGUGAAAUUCGUAGAUAUUCGGAGGAACACCAGUGGCGAAGGCGGCUCACUGGCUCGAUACUGACGCUGAGGUGCGAAAGUGUGGGGAGCAAACAGG